rnacentral:tRNA from 1 species
AGGCGCGUAGCUCAGCUGGUUAGAGCACUACCUUGACAUGGUAGGGGUCACAGGUUCAAGUCCUGUAUCACCAACCA